CACCUCCUGAUUUACAGCAUUUUCCUUUGCCUUUACUCUGUACUCUAUACUCCGUUGGUAUUUCUUACAAGGCAGGUAUUGUCAAAUCUCUUUCUUCAAACAUAUAAUAACCACCUUUUGUAUCGAACAGGCGGAUAAAUUACUCAGCUUAUAUGACAGAACAGAAAAUAAAGAGCUGAGUAUCUGGCAGAGAUGCCAAAGAGUGAUGUUAUUAUAACCUUCCUGUGAAAGAUUUGCCAACAGCAAGUUACGCAUUGGUGAGGCAACCGAUGACAAUAUUUGCAGGAGAAGGCUUUAUUACACCAAAUAUUAAAAACCAUCAUUGCAUGUUGUACUUACAGCCCAAUCUCACCUCUCUUAUCAGGAUGUUCAAUAGCCUCCGUUGCACAUAACAGAUGGGAUUUGGAGCUUAAAUAGUCCACGGGGGUGGAAAGACAUCAAAUCACAGGGUUUUGCUUGUCAGUGCUACAGCCUUCUUGUUUAGACCUUCGUGGGAAUUUUCCUAGGUUGCUUUCUUUGUUGUUUUUCAAGUGGAAAAUAUUGUUUCUGCCAAACUGAAAAUUUUCUGUUUUUCAGUUUUCCUGUAAGCCGACGACGCCGGGAUCAGAGUGGUUUCAAGGCAGAAUGAUCCAAAGGAAACCAAAUCACAGCGCUUGGUGCUGACCAAUUUAAAACAUCUGCCCAUCUUUGCUGGUGCUGCCAUCAGACGUACGGGCUUUACAUCCAGCUGCUUUGCCCCUAGAGUUUCUGCAGCUUCCCAAACCACUUGCAGUCACCUUCUGGCUGGAGCAGCGCAGCCCAUGCCUGCAGCCAGGAAACAGAGCCCUUCCACAGCAUCACCUGCAUCACGCGGUAGUAAUGAGCAACAUCAUCAUUAGCGCCUUCUGCUUAAUUUGCUGGCAGUUGGCAGCAAGCAGCUGACCUUGGGUGGAUGGAGGCUUAGGGUCAGCCCGGCUGGAGCGGAGAGAAGAGGAGCUGGAAGCUGGCGGUGGGUGCUUAGUGGCGAUGUGCAGCGGGUGCAGUGCUCCAUCUCCCGGCAGCCGCUCCGAUGUGCAAGGGAAGAGCUCCAGCUGUGGUUCGUCCUGGUGAGAUGCUGCGUGGCAGCGUUUCCUCCGAUGUAAAAUAAUCGCCGAGUGCCACCACAUCCAGCAGACUCUGAGAACAGCGGGUCAGGUGCAGCCGAAAUCUCUGCGCUGAGCUCUCUCUGACCAAGGCACAGAUGCUGCACGCGGGAUUUGGCUGCUCUGUAUCAUUGCCCCACGGUACAGCCUUCCAUCCCUUCCUGUUUGCUUAUUGUUUUCACAUACUUAUCAAUACUUUUCUGCCUGUUCUAGGGAGAAUGAAAGUGUGCAGGCUCGUUCUUUGUUUCAGAGAAACUUUCUGCUAAAAAUCAACAGGCGCAUGGGAACAGGGUGAGAGGGAAAUCAGUGUGCAUCUGUUCUCAGACAGAUUUUCAGACAUUACCAUUUUCCUGUCCACCUGCUGCCGUUCAGCGUGGGAGCACGAAACUGGCGGCUGUACUCGGGCAGCCAGCACAUAGCCAAGCACAAUCUCUGCUGCCCUCGCACGGCACAACCAGGGAAGGAAACUGGCCUGCUUGCGUUACUCCAUCUGAAUGUCAUCAUGGGAUAUGGGCCACGUUCACAUAUAGGUCACAUAUGCAAGAGCAGAUUUGAGGAGAUAAGCUGCUAACCCAGCCUAUCUCUGAGAGAAAGUCAAGCUUGCAGAUUGGAGCAGCCGAGCUAAUAGCUGAGCUGAUCUUUAAUCCAUCUUUGCUGUAAACUAUCUUGAAAGAUCAGCAAGCACUACACAGCCUGCGUGCAUGAGUUAAAUGAGAAACGCAGGCCAAAUCACUGAGCAACCAAGGAAGGCAAGAUGUUGAAGCUCAAAGAGCACUAUAUUGGCAUGUCCGUAUAAACUGCAAGGCAGAAGGAAGGCAGCCCUCGCUUCUUGGUGCCAGAUUAAAGAUACGAAAUGUUUUACGUCAAGCUCAGCUGCUGGCAUUGGCAGAGCCCACGAAACUCUCAGCAUUUGUCAAAAAAUAACAGCCAUAACAAAAUCUGUUCUCCUGGAGGAGGAGAGAGCGUCAUAAAAGGUGGAAUCAGAGCACAAAGAGGAAGAAACCUCCAUUUGACACUGCCUAGCUAAUCUCAGCAGUACAUCGCUCAUUACUCUGCGCUGGAUUAAAGGUGAGCUCUGUAGUGCUGCCUUUGAGACUCAGCGGGGCAGCUCUCCUUCACAGCAAUGGGGUCAAAUAAUUCCUGGUGUGUGGCAGGAAGGCUCUGGAGUGAAGAUUGUCGGGUUCAAAUUACCCAGCAGAGCCCUCUGUGUUCUAGCUUUUGUGUUCCCUCCUGUAAAAUAAAGUAUUCUAUAGUUUAGCUCCCAAAUAAAAGGACUGUCUUAGUGAUAAAGGAAAUGUAAAAUACAUUUUAUUCCAGAUUUGUGUCCCGUUACAUGAGCAACAUGUUAGAAAUGUUAGAAUUUUUUCCUGGAAGAAGGCCGGUUUUCCAUGUUUUUCUCUCUGUUGGAAAAGUUCAAUUACAAUGUUUGCUCUUAAAAGAGUUUACACAACAUAUACAUUUAGAUUAUUUGGUCAAAUGUUGCUGAUUGAGAAGG